UGCCAAACCCGAGGUUGAGGUAACGGCUUACCAAGGCAACGAUGCGUAGCCGACCUGAGAGGGUGAUCGGCCACACUGGAACUGAGACACGGUCCAGACUCCUACGGGAGGCAGCAGUAGGGAAUCUUCCGCAAUGGGCGAAAGCUUGACGGAGCAACGCCGCGUGAGUGAUGAAGGUCUUCGGAUCGUAAAACUCUGUUAUUAGGGAAGAACAAAUGUGUAAGUAACUAUGCAAGUCUUGACGGUACCUAAUCAGAAAGCCACGGCUAACUACGUGCCAGCAGCCGCGGUAAUACGUAGG
rnacentral:rRNA from 1 species